UACGUAGGGUGCAAGCGUUAAUCGGAAUUACUGGGCGUAAAGGGCUCGUAGGCGGCCAACUAAGUCAUACGUGAAAUCCCUCGGCUUAACCGGGGAACUGCGUCUGAUACUGGAUGGCUUGAGUUCGGGAGAGGGAUGCGGAAUUCCAGGUGGUAGCGGUGAAAUGCGUAGAUAUCUGGAGGAACACCGGUGGCGAAGGCGGCAUCCUGGACCGAUACUGACGCUGAGGAGCGAAAGCCAGGGGAGCAAAGCGGG
rnacentral:rRNA from 1 species